GACGAACGCUGGCGGCGUGCUUAACACAUGCAAGUCGAACGGAAAGGCCCUGCUUUUGUGGGGUGCUCGAGUGGCGAACGGGUGAGUAACACGUGAGUAACCUGCCCUUGACUUUGGGAUAACUUCAGGAAACUGGGGCUAAUACCGGAUAGGAGCUCCUGCUGCAUGGUGGGGGUUGGAAAGUGUCGGCGGUUGGGGAUGGACUCGCGGCUUAUCAGCUUGUUGGUGGGGUAGUGGCUUACCAAGGCUUUGACGGGUAGCCGGCCUGAGAGGGUGACCGGCCACAUUGGGACUGAGAUACGGCCGAGACGCCUACGGGAGGCAGCAGUGGGGAAUAUUGCACAAUGGGCGGAAGCCUGAUGCAGCAACGCCGCGUGCGGGAUGCCGGCAUUAGGGGUGUAAAACGCUUUCGCCUGUGACGAAGCGUGAGUGACGGUAAUGGGUAAAGAAGCACCGGCGAACUACG
rnacentral:rRNA from 1 species